UGUAUCGCCUUCAGGGAUGUUGAG
rnacentral:siRNA from 1 species